rnacentral:rRNA from 1 species
GAUGAACGCUGGCGGCGUGCCUAAUACAUGCAAGUCGAGCGAGCAGAUGAGGAGCUUGCUCCUCUGACGUUAGCGGCGGACGGGUGAGUAACACGUGGAUAACCUACCUAUAAGACUGGGAUAACUUCGGGAAACCGGAGCUAAUACCGGAUAAUAUAUUGAACCGCAUGGUUCAAUAGUGAAAGACGGUUUUGCUGUCACUUAUAGAUGGAUCCGCGCCGCAUUAGCUAGUUGGUAAGGUAACGGCUUACCAAGGCAACGAUGCGUAGCCGACCUGAGAGGGUGAUCGGCCACACUGGACCUGAGACACGGUCCAGACUCCUACGGGAGGCAGCAGUAGGGAAUCUUCCGCAAUGGGCGAAAGCCUGACGGAGCAACGCCGCGUGAGUGAUGAAGGUCUUCGGAUCGUAAAACUCUGUUAUUAGGGAAGAACAAAUGUGUAAGUAACUAUGCACGUCUUGACGGUACCUAAUCAGAAAGCCACGGCUAACUACGUG